rnacentral:lncRNA from 1 species
UGUGUUCAUGCGUGUUGGGGAUCCUAGGAGUUCAAUCGACCAAAACAUCAAUCAAUAGAAGAAAUUCUAAGGCAAAACUAAGAAAAUACGAAACCGGAAAUAACACAACCCAUAUGGCCGAAUCUGGACAGCUUCUGCUUCCUCCUUUCGGCAGCUUCUUCUCCUCCUUAUGGCUGAUUUUACAGGCUCAGGAACAGCCCUCCACGACUUGCAAAUCACCUUCCAAGAGAGAGAGAGAAAACCGACAAAGAACCCCUUCAAACCGCCACCUUAAGGAACCAAAAAUGGAGGAGAGUUUUCUGUCGAGCAGAGAGAAAAAUAAAGAUCAGCCUCCUUUUGAAAUAACCCCCUUACCACCUAAAGACACUGCCCUCUCUUACAAAAACGUGGGGUAAGUCAUAUGUUUGGUAAAUGAUCCAAAACUUCUUUAACAAGCCAAGGCAACAAAAUAUCUAUUAAGUUUAAAUCCCGACCAUCGAUUCCAUCCAAUGGUCCAUAAUAAAUACUGGGAAAGCACAAUCCUUGUGAAUUACACAAAUAGCACUAAACACUAGUAGGGUUAAGAGAACCAUUUCUCACAUUCUUCACCUUGGUUCUCAUAACACUCUCUCUUGGUUGCGAAUUUGCACAUGGAAGAACUGUUCAUCAUCAUCGCUCACUACCUGCAAGAAAAAUUAACCAGUGUCAAUAUGUAAUAAAGAUAAGCACAAUCUAAAUUUACUUGCAGGUAGAAUUUUUGUUCCCAUAUCAGAAGGAUUCCUAUCGGUGUGAAUUUUAACAAGAUUAACUUCACCUUGAGACAGUUUCUCACGAAUAAAAUGAUACUUUACCUCAAUAUGUUUAGUUCUUUCAUCGUAAACAGGAUUUUUACAAAGCAAUAAAGCACUUUGACUAUCAGUAAACAUAACAGGUGUAUCAUGCAUGAAGUUCAAUUCUUUUAAAAUUUCUUUUAACCAAGUACAUUCCUUAACCGCCUCGAUUAUGGCAACAUACUCUGCCUCAUUACUUGACAAAGUAACUAAAGGCUGCAGCUGUGACUUCCAUGUUAUACAAUUGUCACCUAGUGUAAAAAAGUACGCUGUGGUAGACUUUCUACUAUCCUUGUCACCAGCAAAAUCAGAGCCUACAUACCCUUUUAGAGCAAGUUUUUCAGAUCUCUUUUCAUACACUAGACCCAGAUUUAAUGUACCAACAAUGUAUCUUAACAACCAUUUCAAACCUGCCCAAUGGGGCUUUCCUGGGUUUGACAUAAAUCUGCUCAAAAAACUUAUAACAUAUGCUAAGUCAGGCCUGGUUAUUAUCAUAGAGAACAUAACGGAACCUAUAGCAUUGGCAUAGGGUAAGUUCCUCAUUUCUCUAAAUUCCUCCUCAGUUUUAGGAGAUUGUGCACUGGAAAGAUUCAUGUGAGCUGCUAAGGGAACGUUCACAGAUUUUGAUCCAUUCAUACCAAAUUUAGUUAUGACUUUGUUUAGAUAGGCUUCUUGGGAAAUGACUAAUCUAUUUUCAGCCCUAUCUUUCUUUAUAACCAUCCCCAAAAUCUUCUUAGCACUCCCCAAAUCUUUCAUAUCAAAUUCUGAUUUUAAAAGGUUCUUCAUUUUAGUGAUUUCAGUCUUACUUGAACUUGCUAGAAGCAUGUCAUCUACAUACAGCAACAAGUAGACCUCACAGCCCUCCUUACUAUCAUUAUAGUACAGGCAUGCAUCAUAUUCACUCCUUUUAAAACCUAUCUUCAGUACAUAGGUAUCGAACCUUAUGUACUACUGUCUAGGACUUUGUUUAUGCCCAUACAGAGAUUUUUCUAAUUUGCACACACAGUUUGUUUUACCUUUCACCUCAAAACCUUGAGACUGACUCAUGUAAAUAUCCUCUUUCAAUUCCCCAUAUAGGAAAGCAGUCUUGACAUCUAGUUGUUCCAGUUCCCAGUUGUACUGAACAACCAAUGCAAGAACCAGUCUGAUUGUUUUGUACUUUAUCACAGGAGAGAAUAUCUCAUUAUAAUCAACCCCCUCCUUUUGAGUGAACCCUUUCGCCACUAAUCUGGCCUUAUAUCUAGGAGGAUCACUAGGAUUAUUUCCUUCUUUCAAUUUGUAAAUCCACUUACAUUGAACUAUCCUAUGAUCCUUAGGUUUGUUAACUAACUUCCAAGUUUUAUUCUCCAUUAGAGAUUCCAUUUCUUCCCGCAUAGCUUUUAGCCAACUUUCAGAACAUUUUCCAUUAACAGCUUCUUCAUAACUAGCAGGUUCUAUCUGUUCAAGGGCUUCACCUGAAACCAAGAAAAAAUCAGUCAAGUUUAGGGAUUCAUAUCUAGGAUUUGGCCUGAUUUGCCUCCUCCCCCGAUCCCUAGUAAGCUGAUAAUCUUGAUUAGGUGGCUGAUCAUUAAAAUGUUCAACUUCAACUGGUUCAAUGUUAUCUUGAAGUUCAGUCACCUCUUCAGGUUCAGGUUCAAUUUCAAUUUCAUUUUCAUUUUCAUGAUGUAUAGGGUCAUUUUUGUCAUUCCUAGGUGUAGGUGAAUUUAGGCUAGUUAGCUUCACCUCAGUCUGAAUACUCUUCUCUGUUUCAGAUUUGUUAGUUUCUUCGAUUUUCUGUUUUAGACAUGGCAUCUCAGAUUCAUUAAAGACUACAUUCCUGCUGUUAAUAAUCUUAAUGCCUUGGACCCCUAAAACCCAUAACCUAUAGCCCUUCACACCCUCGGGAUACCCUAACAUCACACACUUGACAGCCCUCGGCUCAAGUUUCCCUUCAGAUUGGUGUGCAAAUGCAGCACAUCCAAACACCCUCAAGUGUUCUAGAUUUGGAGGCUCUCUCGUCCACAACUCUUGUGGGGUCUUAAACCCUAUACUGCUGGACGGAGACCUAUUAAUCAGAUAAGCUGCAGUACUUGCAGCUUCAGCCCAAAAACCUUUCGCAAGGCCAGAGCUAAUCAACAUACACCUAACUUUGUUCAUUAUGGUCAUGUUCAUUCUUUCAGCGACCCCAUUUUGUUCAGGUGUGUAUUUAAUAGUUCCGUGUCUUGUUAUACCUUUCUGCUUACAAAAGUUGUCAAAUUCGCUAUUACAGAAUUCAAGCCCAUUAUCAGUUCUUAACGUUUUAAGUUUCUUCUCUAACUGAUUCUCAACAGAUUUUAACCAAAUCCUGAAUUUCCCAAAAGUUUCCGACUUAGCCUUCAAAGGAUAAAUCUAAACUUUUCUUGGGGGAGUAAUCAUCCACUAAGGACAAGAAGUACUUGCUCCCACCAAAUGUGGAGUGCUUCUCCGGGCCCCAUAGAUCAGCAUGGACAUAGUCCAAUGGUCUGCUGGUCCUAUGAGAGCUAGCUUCAAAGCUCACCUUAUGAGACUUACCCAAAACACAAGUUUCACAGAAUUCCAUAGUUUCAAUGUCAUCUUUUCCAAGUAAUUUCUGAUUACUUAAAGAUUUUAGCCCUUUAAACCCAAUGUGACCCAUUCUGUUAUGCCAAAGUUCAAUUUUGUCUUUACAUACAGCAAGAAGGCUAGAAUCAAAUGGUAUUUCAGUUCUACCCUCAAGAUAGUACAACCCAUUCCUCUUAGGCCCUUUCAUAACUAUAAGAGAACCCCUCAUAAUUUUCAAAAUUUUGUUACCAGACUUGAAGGUAUAUCCCUCAUCUUCCAGAGAACAUAAGGAAAUGAGGUUCCUCUUUAAAUUUGGGACAUAUCUAACAUUUCUGAGCUGCGUGACGGCCCCAUCGUACAUCCUGAUGGCUAUGUCACCAACUCCAAUCACAUUUUGAGAAUUAUUGUCUCCCAUGUAGACCUUCCUAGGUUCAGUCUCCCUAUAGUUAUAAAAUCAAGACCUAUCAAGGCACAUAUGAAUAGUGCACCCUGUGUCAAGAAUCCAUUUUUUGUCAAAUUCUUCUUCAGACACAUUCAUGACAUGCAAACUAUUAAAUUCAGAAGCAAUAGCAGCAUUAUCAACAUCAGAAUUGUUCGGGUCUUUUUGUUUCCUUUUCCAGUCAAAGCAGUCUUUCUUGAGAUGUCCUAACUUUCCACAGUGAUAACAUUUCUUACCGCUUUUAUCUUUAGAUUUGGAUCUCAUUUUAGAUUUUCCUCUCCCCUUCUUGUUAUGGAAGUUGAAUUCUUUCUUUUCAGAUCUUCCCCUAACAAAUAAACUCUCUUCACGAGAAUGAAUUCUGUUCUCUCUUUUUAAUUCAAGUUCUCUUAAUUUUAAAGCAUCAGAAACAAUAGCUUGAGUGAGAGUGUCCCUACCAUACUUUAUGGCAUUUUUCAUUUCUCUGUAAGAUUCGGGCAAAGAGUUUAGCAAUAUGACAACUAAAUCCUCAUCAUCAAAUGUUUUAUCAUUAUGAGCUAGACUCUUAACAAUUAUGCUAAACUCACUAAAAUUUCCCUCGACAUCCUUCCCCAGGUCCAUCUUAAGACUAAACAACUUCUCCAACAGGUAUAUUUUGUUAGGUAAAGUUUUAGUUAAGAACAGGGCAUCUAAAGCAAUCCACAAAGCUCUAGCAGUUUUAGCACUAUCAACUUGUCUCAAUGUUGUCAAAUAGAUGCAAAAUUAUAUAAUUGUAAGCAAUUUCAUUCAUGUCUUCAAUUUCAGUUGUUUUAGCUUUUAACUCAUCAGAAAAUGUAGCGGGAUCAUCAAGAGCUUUAGCAACUCUCUGUUGGACCAAAAUGGCCCUCAUUUUCUGUUUCCAUAUCGAGUAAUCCCCCUUUCCAUCGAAUUGCGAUAAUUCGACCCUCGAACCCAUUAUAGAUUCUAUAAAAGAGUGGCCUGUACUCGUGGACACAACAGAAAAGAUUUUGAAAAAUUCUUUUCCAGAUGAUCAAUAUAUAACUGAGUGCCGAGUUAAAAAAACAAUUUUUAGAAAUGAAGCACAACAGUAAAAUAAUCCGCUCAAGAAACACAGGUAUAUAAAGUAGGUAAAUAUGCUUCCAGGUUAUAAAUUAAUCACAAGAAUUCAAUCAACAGAAUUCACAAAUAGGCAACCAAGCAAUAAUCAUGCAUAAACCGGUAAGGAUACUGAACCUAACCUAACGGAGAGUUUGGAAUAAUCUUACCAAACUACUGUUGAAAAACAGUAAAUAUACCACCAAGUUUCUGAACCUAAUUGCGGUAGCGUCAAGCCAGGGGCAAAAUUGUCCAACUUUUUCUGUAAAACCUGAAAUAGAAAACAAACGACAGCAGUGGGUUCAGGACGUCAAAAUAAGUAAACUGCCCGAAAAAAGCUCGCCUGAGGUCCACCACGCGCCGCCACCGGACCGCCACGCGCCGCAGCCGGAGCCUCCACCGUCGGUCACACGCCCCAUCACAAGGAGCGCCUCAGUCUGCUGGUUAUGGGUCCAAGUUCCAUUUCGCCGGAAAGUCAAUAGUUUGGCCGGAAUUUGAAUUUUUCAGAUUCGGUCAGAAAAUGGAGUAGCGAUUUCCUUGCCGAUUUUGAUCGAUUUUUGGACAGAUUUCACUCCUCCUAGCUCUGAUACCAGUUUGUUGGGGAUCGUAGGAGUUCAAUCAACCAAAACAUCAAUCAAUAGAAGAAAUUCUAAGGCAAAACCAAGAAAAUACGAAAUCGAAAAUAACACAACCCAUAUGGCCGAAUCUGGAUAGCUUCUGCUUCCUCCUUUCAGCAGCUUCUUCUCCUCCUUAUGGCUAAUUUUACAGGCUCAGGAAUAGCCCUCCACGACUUGCAAAUCACCUUCCAAGUGAGAGAGAGAAAACCGGCAAAGAACCCCUUAAAACCCCACCUUGAGGAACCAAAAAUGGAGGAGAGUUUUCUGUCGAGCAGAGAGAAAAAUAAAGACCAACCUCCUUUUGAAAUAACCCCC